GACAGCUGCGGGACGCCGGGAUGCGCGGGAACUCACAGCGUUCCUUCCUGCCCUGCCGCCACCGCUCCACCUGGCCCGGCGGCAGAGGAGGGAGAGGGGAAGGCGGCGGUGGCGCGUAGCAGAAGGAAAUUGCCUGCAACCCUGCAACCUAGAAUGGGACCUGGCAAGACAAUUUGUGGUCUGCCUGGUCAUUGCUCAAGCACCCUGCUCUUCAGCUCUUCCAGCACAAAUGUUUCAAACUUUGUUAAGCCAUU